rnacentral:rRNA from 1 species
AUUGAACGCUGGCGGCAGGCCUAACACAUGCAAGUCGAGCGGAUGAAGGGAGCUUGCUCCUGGAUUCAGCGGCGGACGGGUGAGUAAUGCCUAGGAAUCUGCCUGGUAGUGGGGGAUAACGUCCGGAAACGGGCGCUAAUACCGCAUACGUCCUGAGGGAGAAAGUGGGGGAUCUUCGACCUCACGCUAUCAGAUGAGCCUAGGUCGGAUUAGCUAGUUGGUGGGGUAAAGGCCUACCAAGGCGACGAUCCGUAACUGGUCUGAGAGGAUGAUCAGUCACACUGGAACUGAGACACGGUCCAGACUCCUACGGGAGGCAGCAGUGGGGAAUAUUGGACAAUGGGCGAAAGCCUGAUCCAGCCAUGCCGCGUGUGUGAAGAAGGUCUUCGGAUUGUAAAGCACUUUAAGUUGGGAGGAAGGGCAGUAAGUUAACACCUUGCUGUUUUGACGUUACCAACAGAAUAAGCACCGGCUAACUUCGUG